UUAUAGAGAGUAAAUAGGGAAGUUGUCAACCUCCCUCAAAGGCUUCCAAUUUUCCUGGCUAAUUAUCAAGGUAAGAAAGUUGGAAGCCGGUGGGGGACCUUGAAAGCUUACCCCAGAAUCAAUAUUACUCAUCUGGUUAUUUGGUAUCAGUUUCCCUGAUCAUUAGGAAGACAGUAAGAUUGAUUUCAGGAAAGGGAGGGAGACUAGAAGAAAGAAGGAUUUUGAAGCUUUCAUUUUAAGUAAUGCUAAUUUUACAUUUUUUAGGCAAACAAAGAAUUUCUAUAGGUGAUAUAAAUUCCUUAUUUGGUUGCUGAGAAAACAGAGGGAAGGAAGAAACAACAUAUAUACAUUUUGGAGCUUAUUUUCUUGUCCUAUUCUUGUUCUUACAUUUUCCAAGCAAGCAAAAAGGGUGUAUUUUUAUCUGGGCAAUAGAAGUUCAUCCUUUU